CGCCAUUCAGGGUCACUCACCAGGCUACGGAGCAAAGUGGGCAGCGUGAGGAGUCUGGGAUCAAAUCCUAGCACUACCCGUCAAGUCGCUAGCAGUUAAAAUCUCCGGACUCGCUUGUGGGAAGGAUGCAAGAGGCACAGGGCAGAGCCAAGUCUGACCUCUACACACCUCUACAUGGGUGAGCACCCCGCUGGGACUUAGCUCUAAGCAUGGGAGCAAGCCCAACUCAGACCAGAACUUGAGCUGCUGCCCCACAGACUCAUGUGCUAGAUGUCUUCGCAUCAGCUUUGCAUCUCUGGCUGGAGAAGCUGUGGAGUAUGUUUGGUUCUUCCAGAGAAUGAAGCCUGAUGAGGGGUGUGUGUCCAGCUUGCAAAGAUGUCUCUGGACCUAGAUGGGAUGCCCC